rnacentral:rRNA from 1 species
AUGCCCCCUACCGCUCUCCAAACAAUCCCCAUAACUUGGCCCUUCACGGUCUGGGGGCUGGAUAUGGUGGGACCCCUUAAAAAGGGAAGCCAUAAGAAAAAAUACUUAUUGGUCAUGGUGGACAAGUUCACCAAAUGGAUAGAAGCCAACCCAGUUAAAACGGCCGAAUCCGGACCAGUGAUAGACUUCAUAUCGGAGGUCGUACAUCGUUACGGUGUCCCCCACAGUAUCAUCACUAACAAUGGCUUGAAUUUUAUAGCCGAGGAGAUGAAAACCUGGUGCGGCAAAAUGGGCAUCAAGCUCGACUACGCCUCUGUCUAUCACCCCCAAACAAACAGUCAAGUUGAACGUGCAAAUGGUCUUAUCAUGAGCGGCAUUAAACCCAAACUAGUGCGAUCCUUGAAGGAAUCAGACACGCAUUUGGUCGAGGAACUCGACUCCGUACUCUGGGGGCUGCGGACCACGCUGAAUCGUACCACCGGAUACACCCCAUUUUUUAUGGUGUACGACGCAGAAGCAGUGCUGCCCUGCGAUAUAAUCCAUGACUCUCCUCGUGUGCGCAUGUAUGAAGAGAAGGAAGCCGAUCUAGAUCGGUAG